UUUCGUUUUAAUGCAAUAAGUAUAAUAAUCAUUUAGUGGGACAUAAUGUCCUAUGGCGUGACACACAUAAAAGUACAAACAAAUGUUUUACCUUAAAGUACCUUAACAAACAGUUGGGUAUUACAUUAGGGGAGAUAUAAUCAUCACUCAUCUUAAAUUGGUAUAAGUUUCAACAGUUUUGAAAGGAUAGCAAAGUGAAUUUGAUCUUUCCUAGGAUUCAUUGGAUGAAACCGAUUCCAACCGGAAAGAAAGCCACUGGUGAACGUGCACGAGAGACAUAAGAUGAGGUGGACAGACUCUGGGUCAAACACAGGGAGAAAGAGAUCGUUAGAUGUCCAGCCAUGUGUCCUUCUGAAGAAAGACAAGAAGGGCACGUUUUUAUCUACAAAAGUGUUAAUGGUUGAAUAAAUGUUUCAGCAAAUAGUUGACCAUUCUAAUGGAAUAGUUUAUAUUGGCUGUAGGCUCUGUAGAUUAUUCUCCUGAGGUAUCCUUAAUGUAUGAGGCUGAGCAUUUACAUCUGAUGUGUAUUAAUAAAUGCAGAAUGUUCUAGAUCAGUCCUCAUUUAUCUCAUUAGUGUAUUACUGAGCAGACUGGUGCAGUGGAUGAUGGGGAGGACCACAUGAGUACUAGCCACCAUACUGCACCGUGAACCAGAGGAGGAUUAGCCACCAUACUGCACCGUGAACCAGAGGAGGAUUAGCCACCAUACUGCACCGUGAACCAGAGGAGGAUUAGCCACCAUACUGCACAGUGAACCAGAGGAGGAUUAGCCACCAUACUGCACAGUGAGGCCAGACUGCCAGAAGAUGGGGCCCAAUGUGGACAUCAUUCACUAACGCCUCAAGAAAGCACAGAAAUACUGAAGACACUAUAUUCAACAACAGACCACUGCAGAGGUCUGACAAGAACUCCCCUGCUUCUCUGUUCCAGUCUUGUCGGACAAGCGUGUUCAAGGCCCAUGUUUCCACAAUGUGACGCACACUAGCCACUAAGCAACCUCAGGACCUGUGGCUCUUCACUGUGGGACUUUAAAUGUAAGGUGAAUGACUGUUUUGUCCUGAUCACAUUCCAGGGUAUGUGCAGAAUUGUUGAGAUUGUUUAGUAAUAUUGAUAAUACCAAAUGAUUGAAUAGAAUAAAUGAUCAAAUAUUCAAUAUUUGCUUCUGAAUGCUGAUAACGUGAACUGAUUUAAUCUGCAUGUUUUGUUCUAGCUAUGUGAAUAGGCAUGACACUUCUUAAGAAGAAAAGAAGAACAUGUGUGACUAGCUGUACAGUACUGGAUAAGACACUGCUUGAUACAGGGGGUUGAGGAAAGAUAAGAAACAGCUGCAGCUGAAUAAAUACUGCGUUUAGUUUCAUUGCACCUUACCUUUAGGUCAUGAAGCCACAUAUAGCUGCCAUAUUAUUUCAUAUUAAUUUAUUCCCUUAUUAAUUUCAGAUUUUAUUUAAUCUGUUUUAGGCCUUUAAACCACAUUAAGCUCAAUCGUUUUCAAUUCAUUUUCAACUGGAGAUCCUGCCAUAGUUUUUUUUACCAGGUCAUUAAGCCAUGAUAAAACCUCAUUACAUGAAUGCGGACAUACUCCUCCUUUUUCAAGGAACCCUUAAGCCCGACACCCACAAUCUUCUCAAGCAGCAGUGAUGACAAGCCCCUGGGUGACGAGACGGAUGACGCUGUCACAAUGGAGAGACACAAAGAUGGUGGACUAUGGAGAGGUACUCUUGUCUUUGGCCAAUGAUGGUGGACUAUGGAGAGGUACUCUUGUCUUUGGCCAAUGAUGGUGGACUAUGGAGAGGUACUCUUGUCUUUGGCCAAUGAUGGUGGACUAUGGAGAGGUACUCUUCUCUUUGGCCAAUGAUGGUGGACUAUGGAGAGGUACUCUUGUCUUUGGCCAAUGAUGGUGGACUAUGGAGAGGUACUCUUGUCUUUGGCCAAUGAUGGUGGACUAUGGGGAGGUACUCUUGUCUUUGGCCAAUGAUGGUGGACUAUGGAGAGGUACUCUUGUCUUUGGCCAAUGAUGGUGGACUAUGGAGAGGUACUCUUGUCUUUGGCCAAUGAUGGUGGACUAUGGAGAGGUACUCUUCUCUUUGGCCAAUGAUGGUGGACUAUGGAGAGGUACUCUUGUCUUUGGCCAAUGAUGGUGGACUAUGGAGAGGUACUCUUGUCUUUGGCCAAUGAUGGUGGACUAUGGGGAGGUACUCUUGUCUUUGGCCAAUGAUGGUGGACUAUGGAGAGGUACUCUUGUCUUUGGCCAAUGAUGGUGGACUAUGGAGAGGUACUCUUGUCUUUGGCCAUGGGUGUUGUGCUGGCCCUCUAUCAUGUCUACAACAUUGCAUCUCCCUGUCGGCUAAAGGAAACAUUUUCAUUUUUGUAGGCGUUUAUCUUGAACCUUGAUACUCUAACAACACGUGUACCUGUAGCUGUGCAGAAAGUUAAAAAUGCCCUGAAUAUUUCAUAAAAAUCAAUUUUGUAUGGUAUUAGGGGUUUAUGUACUCCUAAAAUAACUAAUAAUCUGUAAAAGUAUAAUUUUCACCUGGACAUGAUUUUUUAUCUCUACAAUUCCAUUCAUAUGCAAAAUAAAUGAAUUGAGAAUGAAACUG